ACAAAAUGAGCACAAUCAUCCAAACGAUUGGCUUUAGGACAUAUUUUCCAACAGGAGGGUCCUCACCGGAGCCACCUCCAGCAGAACUUCCUUUGUAGGUUCAUCUUCUCCGGCAUUGAGCAGAGCUCAGCACCAUCCUUCUCUAAUUAACUUCACCGCUCUCAGUCUCGGCCUUAACUAUGUGCACCUUCUCCGAUGAUGGCACAUCAUUUUCUGGCACUCCCGCCGCCCACUAACAGGCAUGGUUCCUAGUUGGCUCCAGGCUGACUAUCGACUACCCUCUGGAGAAAAGCCGCAACAAUAAUCACUUAUCAAAUACUUCUCUUGAUGCGUCGCCACAUAAACAAGCAGCUAUGGUUAAUUUAUUAAGAAAGAGUAACAGCCAUUAGAACAGGCCCUCCAUUACAUUAUCUAUUACAUCAUCUAUAAAAUAACAG
rnacentral:lncRNA from 1 species